rnacentral:rRNA from 1 species
CUACGGGGCGCUGCAGUGAGGAAUAUUGCACAAUGGGGGGAACCCUGAUGCAGCAACGCCGCGUGGAGGAUGACGCAUUUCGGUGUGUAAACUCCUUUUAUAUGUCAAGAAAAUGACGGUAGCAUAUGAAUAAGCACCGGCUAACUCCGUGCCAGCAGCCGCGGUAAUACGGAGGGUGCAAGCGUUACUCGGAAUCACUGGGCGUAAAGGACGCGUAGGCGGGCUUGUAAGUCAGGUGUGAAAUCCUACAGCUUAACUGUAGAACUGCACUUGAAACUACGAGCCUAGAGUAUGGGAGGGGGAGAUGGAAUUAGUGGUGUAGGGGUAAAAUCCGUAGAUAUCACUAGGAAUACCGAAAGCGAAGGCGAUCUGCUGGAACAUUACUGACGCUAAGGCGUGAAAGCGUGGGGAGCAAACGGGAUUAGAUACCCCUGUAGUC